GAUUAACGCUGGCGGCGUGCAUAACACAUGCAAGUCGAACGAUGAAACUCAUUAGAUUUCUUCGGAAUGAAAAUGAAUGGAUUAGUGGCGAACGGGUGAGUAACGCGUGAGUAACCUGCCUUACACAAGGGGAUAGCCUCUGGAAACGGAGAAUAAUACCCUAUGAAACCAGACAAUCGCAUGAUAAUCUGGUCAAAAUGUUUAGUGGUGUAAGAUGGACUUGCGUCUGAUUAGCUAGUUGGUGAGAUAAAAGCUCACCAAGGCAACGAUCAGUAGCCGGCUUGAGAGAGUGUACGGCCACAUUGGGACUGAGACACGGCCCAGACUCCUACGGGAGGCAGCAGUGGGGAAUUUUGCACAAUGGGGGAAACCCUGAUGCAGCGACGCCGCGUGAUUUAGAAGGCCUUCGGGUUGUAAAAAUCUUUUGUAUAGGAAGAAAAUGACAGUACUGUACGAAUAAGGUCCGGCUAAUUACGUG
rnacentral:rRNA from 1 species